AGCUAGGGUUAUGGAGUGGAGCUCCUUGAAGUCCAAUAGAAGAUGUUGCUAGGUUGAUUGAGCUGCUGAGCUAUGAAUUCCACACUUCUAUCUCUGUUUUUUGAUAAAGAUGAUAGGCUUGUGGCUUGCAUACCUCAGGAGCUGCAUUACCUGAGUUGCAUCAUGUUUUGGAUUGAAGGGAGCUCUACACCUUGGCU
rnacentral:pre_miRNA from 1 species